CGAAAACGAACAUUCUGUAGGAAGUUACACCAAAUGGCAACUUGUAGCCUGUAGGUGAGGACGCCACUUGGACGGCGAUAAGCCCUUUGUCCAUUUCCCAAAGCAACAACACGGUUUCAGUCAACGUGUAAGGUACGGAUCUUAAGAAGCGCGUGAGGUCCGCGUCUGACGCCACGCGGAAAUCGGACUAAUGCAUGCCACUCGGAUCUUGCUUCCUUCGUU
rnacentral:lncRNA from 1 species